UGGCUCAGUUGGUAGAGCGUGGCAUUUGCAACGCCAGGGUUGUGAGUUCAAUUCCCAU
rnacentral:tRNA from 1 species